rnacentral:misc_RNA from 1 species
GAUGAAGAACGUAGCGAAAUGCGAUAAGUAGUGUGAAUUGCAGAAUUCAGUGAAUCAUCGAAUCUUUGAACGCACAUUGCGCCCCUUGGUAUUCCAUGGGGCAUGCCUGUUCGAGCGUCAUUUGUACCCUCAAGCUUUGCUUGGUGUUGGGCGUCUUGUCGUAUUACGACUCGCCUUAAAUACAUUGGCAGCCGGCACUUUGGCCUAGGAGCGCAGCAUAUUUUGCGAUCGUAGCCCGUUGUACUGGCGUCCAUCAAGAACAUUUACCACGUUUGACCUCGGAUCAGGUAGGGAUACCCGCUGAACUUAAGCAUAUCAAUAAGCGGAGGA